rnacentral:rRNA from 1 species
UUUAAAGAAAGCGUAAUAGCUCACUGGUCGAGUCGGCCUGCGCGGAAGAUGUAACGGGGCUAAACCAUGCACCGAAGCUGCGGCAGCGACGCUUAGGCGUUGUUGGGUAGGGGAGCGUUCUGUAAGCCGUUGAAGGUGUGCUGUGAGGCAUGCUGGAGGUAUCAGAAGUGCGAAUGCUGACAUAAGUAACGAUAAAGCGGGUGAAAAGCCCGCUCGCCGGAAGACCAAGGGUUCCUGUCCAACGU